UACGGAGGGUGCGAGCGUUGUCCGGAAUCAUUGGGCGUAAAGAGCGUGUAGGCGGACUUAAAGGUCUGGUGUGAAAGCCCGGGGCUCAACCCCGGAGGGUCACUGGAAACCAUAAGUCUUGAAUCUGGAAGAGGAGAGUGGAAUUCCUGGUGUAGCGGUGGAAUGCGCAGAUAUCAGGAGGAACACCAAUGGCGAAGGCAGCUCUCUGGUACAUGAUUGACGCUGAGGAGCGAAAGCGUGGGGAGCGAACAGG
rnacentral:rRNA from 1 species